GAUGACAUUCGGUCAUUUGUUAUUUUUAAUUGUUAUUUUAAUGUUUUUUAGUUAGUUUUAAGGAGUUUUACAUGGUCAAAGAGAAGAAUAUUUGAAGAAAUUGACAUAGCAAGAAGUUUGNNNNNNNNNNNNNNNNNNAAGACCAAGAAGAAAAAUAUUUAAAAAAUUGGAAGUUUUUGAAUCAAUUGUAUGCAUGUGGCCACUGGAUUUUUCGCGUCCUCAUCCAACUCCCGUCGCGGCACGAUUUGCCACUCUCUCCAUAGCAUGACGUCAGCAUGAUGCGAGCAGUCCUUGUAUUUUUCCUUUGAUGAGGUGUCAGCAUGCUAUUGGAUUGCUAUUCCUUUUUUUAUUGUGUGGCACGUUAUACACUUUGGAAGGCAUAUAUAUAGAUCAGCUUUUUAACCUAA
rnacentral:lncRNA from 1 species